GCCUGGAUAGCUCAGUUGGUUAGAGCAUGGUGCUGAUAUCGCCGAGGUUGCAGGUUCAAUCCUCCUGCAUUGCAGAGGGUU